UACGUAGGGACCAAGCGUUGUUCGGAUUUACUGGGCGUAAAGGGCGCGUAGGCGGCAAUUCAAGUCAUCUGUGAAAUCUCCGGGCUUAACCCGGAACGGUCAGGUGAUACUGCUUUGCUAGAGUGCGGAAGGGGCAAUCGGAAUUCUCGGUGUAGCGGUGAAAUGCGUAGAUAUCGAGAGGAACACCAGAGGUGAAGACGGGUUGCUGGGCCGACACUGACGCUGACAGCGCGAAAGCCAGGGGAGCAAACGGG
rnacentral:rRNA from 1 species